AACGCGAAGAACCUUACCUGGGCUCGAAAUGUUAUGGACCGGGGUGGAAACAUCCCUUCCCCGCAAGGGGCCGUAAUAUAGGUGCUGCAUGGCUGUCGUCAGCUCGUGUCGUGAGAUGUUGGGUUAAGUCCCGCAACGAGCGCAACCCUUGUCCUGUGUUGCCAUCAUUCAGUUGGGAACUCGCAGGAGACCGCCAGGGAUAACCUGGAGGAAGGUGGGGAUGACGUCAAGUCCUCAUGGCCUUUAUGUCCAGGGCUACACACGUGCUACAAUGGACGGUACAAAGGGCUGCCAACCCGCAAGGGGGAGCCAAUCCCAAAAAACCGUUCUCAGUUCGGAUUGCAGGCUGCAACUCGCCUGCAUGAAGCUGGAAUCGCUAGUAAUGGCGGAUCAGAACGCCGCCGUGAAUACGUUCCCGGGCCUUGUACACACCGCAUAC
rnacentral:rRNA from 1 species